GUGAUUCUCCUGCCUCAGCCUCUUCAGUACUUGGGACUACAGACAUCUGCCACUGCAUCUGGAAUCAUUGUUCCAUUUUAAACUUCACAUUUUUUAUUCCAUCUAGAAGUUAUUUUGGUGUAAGGACUGAGGAUUAUUUAAAAGGAGUCAGAGCGGCGGCGGCAGGUCAUGCGGGACGCGGAUGCAGAUGCAGGCGGAAGCGGCAACUGCGAGGAUAGCCAGGGUGACCACAGCUGCCCCGGUGGCGCAGACACAGCGGCAGCUCCAGCCGGCGGAGCUCCCCCACCUCACGCCUCAGGUCCUUGCAGAGACGCCACGUCUGUGGCCAGGGGGCCAGGAAUGCGGCCGCACAUAUUCACCCUCAGCGUGCCUUUCCCGACCCCCUUAGAGGCGGAAAUUGCCCGUGGGUCCCUGGCUCCAGAUGCUGAGCCCCACCAAAGGGUGGUUGGGAAGAAUCUCGCAGUGAGCGGCAGGAUCUUGGUCGUCCUCUGGGAAGCUGAAGACUGUCGCCUGCUCCGAAUUUCUGUUAUCAACUUUCUCGACCAUCUUUCUCUGGUGAUGCAGACCAUGCAGCACUUUGGGCCCCCCAUUUCCCGCUAAGCCUGGUCUGGGAAAAUGGGGCGAGGUCUAACCUUGCGUCUCCUCCUAGGCAGUGCAUCCAUUCUUCCCAAGGGCAGGGAAUUCCCAUAGUUGCUACUUUCCUGGGAGGGCGUCAUGGUCGGCCUGUACUGGCCUUAGGAUACUCAGGGGCCCCUUGUUUUAUCUGGUUCUUAAAUGUUUGUUACCACAGAAAAUAAAACUGAGCUACUGCUACAAAAAAAAAAAA